GUAUCAAAUUGUCAUGUUCGUGUGUUUUACGCGCGCACGCAUCGCACGAUGCCAGCACCGACACCUCGGAGUCUCCUUAACCUUUCGAACCCGUUAAACGGCCCGAAAAUGACGCCCGAGACACGACUACACAAAUUAAAAUAUUUUGAUAAUAAAGACUUUAAUGCGUCGCGGCAUUUAUGUGAACAUUGUGUGAUGGACAAAUUACAAACAUUUCAUCAUUACCUACAUCGGUUGAUGAUAAUCGAGGAAGGAAUAUCGGCAAAGUAUUUACGUAAACGCACAAAAGGACAAAGCACACAAGCGGCUGAAAAUGUCAUUCGCAGGGAUUAUGUUCGAGACGUAACGCCGGAAUUUCUGCGUGGGUUUUUCAAAGGCGCACGCCUCGGUUGUAAUUGACGGGCUGACGGUUUAAGAAACAUAAACGUGUGUUACGUUUAGAGUUGCUAAAUAUGGUUAU